GAGGAAAAGGGAGUCCCCUGCCUUUGCAGUUACAAGUGAACAACUAUUGUGUGCUAGGUGCUGGAGAUCCCGAGGAAAAUGUGGACCCAGCUUUUACAAGGUCGGUAGCUGGGGUGUAAAUAAUUAUAAUAUACGACCAAACAUCUAGUAAAAAGAUUUAUAGGGUGACCCUCCAGCAGGAGAGAUUUCACUGACACUAGAACACUUCACUUUGUGGAUUAAAUCUAAGUAGUAAGGUUGCUGCCAAAAGGUACGAGACCUGGGUGCUAAGGCCCUGGAUGAGUCUGCUCAGGGUCCUGUCUCACGUUGAGAACCAGGAAGACUCGGUCUUUUGCUAGUGAAUGGCCUUAAAUAUCCUAUCUUCAGAAAGAUCUCCCUGGGGGACGGUUAAUGACACAUCCGAAGGAGAUACCAAAGACAACUGAGCGGAGCCUACAGCUGAACAGGAAGUUAAGCAUCUCUGCUGUGCUAUCUACUCUGCUUGGUGUCUGACUCUCCUGCAUCCCAGCUCAUCCAGGAAGCACAGAUGAGAAAACUGAAGCUCAGAGAACAGUCCAGUGCACAGGGAUGGCAGGUGGCUAAGGCUGAGUUCCUAUCUACUGUUCUUGUCGGUGGUUCAGGAGCCCGUGCAGACGGGGACGCCACGGUCCGUGUUUAACAGAUGAAUGAGGCAACUGAUGAGUCCUGUGUGGGAAAAAGAAGGUGGGACUGGGUCACCACCGGCUCUUUGCUCUUUCUGCUGACUCACAGCACCCUCCUCCUCUCCCUCCUCCUCUCUGCCCUCAUCCCCUCAUCUUGGUGUCCAUUUCCUGCUUCUGCAAAGACAGAAGGACCAUGGAUGAAGCAGCCGACCUCAGCUCUCCCGCAGGUUAGCAGGCCAAGCUUAAUCACCCCCACCUCUAGCCUCCUUCCAUCCUCGAUGUCUCUUCCCCACCACCCACCACCAGUGAUCCAACGUGCAUAGUUGUAAACUUGUUUCUUUAAAUAAACAGCCUCGAGUUUCA
rnacentral:lncRNA from 1 species